rnacentral:rRNA from 1 species
UACAGAGGUCUCAAGCGUUGUUCGGAUUCAUUGGGCGUAAAGGGUGCGUAGGUGGCGCCGUAAGUCGGGUGUGAAAUUUCGGAGCUUAACUCCGAAACUGCAUUCGAAUACUGCGGUGCUUGAGGACUGGAGAGGAGACUGGAAUUCAUGGUGUAGCAGUGAAAUGCGUAGAGAUCAUGAGGAAGACCAGUGGCGAAGGCGGGUCUCUGGACAGUUCCUGACACUGAGGCACGAAGGCCAGGGGAGCAAACGGG